rnacentral:lncRNA from 1 species
GGCAUUCCACACCAAGAACACGGCUCCACUAGGGAGCAAAGAUUCAGCCUGCUCUCCUCCUUCCCGCCGAGGUCACCGGGGCCUCCCGGAGCCAACCGGGGGAGGGGGCUGUCCCUCAGCCCCAUCACGUCUCAUCUGUGGUCAAGGGAAACUGCCACGGCUCGGUCUUCUUCGAUCCCUUCCCUCCCUGGGGACGGUUCGGACAAUCCUGCCACCAACGCCCUUCCUCUUGGCAGUCCUGCGGCCUCUGGAACAAAGAUCAUUGGGAUUCCACCCUGCCUCGCUCUCUGGCACAGCCUGUCCACCAGGCCUGCGGAUGUCUGAUCCUGGGUCAUCUGCCUUACCCGCUUGUUCCCUGGCUUCGAACGGAAUGGAUGACUUUGCCUCAGGCAUGCUAACCUUCUCCUCCAGAAGCCCACAAUUCGUAUGGGGCGAGAAUUCAUAUGAAGAAACAGAGGAAAGGGAACCUCUGCCACUCCAGUGCAGCCUGACAUUCCUGAGAUGCCUCAAGACACAGCUAAACAAAUGGUGGUUGGAGAAAAAGAUGUAUAUGUGGGAUUGAAAGAAGAUAGGCAAGAACGAGAACGAGAACAGUCUUACAUGCCAAUCACGGGACGUGGACUUCCUCCUGACACAGUGGGACGAAAACAGUAUAGAGUGUGUUAGUUAGUACUCACUCACUUACUUAGUUCAGCCUAAUUCAGGUUCAUACAAAUUCCCCCUUUCCCUGUCUUUAGUGGUCAAAGAGAGUGUUCAUCUAUCUGAAGAAAUAUAAAAUUAUUAAAAUCACUUUUUCAGAUCCAAGGACCUCUUUGAACUGUCUAAAGUCAUCCUGCAUGCAAAUGUGCAUUUGCCUGGGUAGAUUAUCUAAAGCCUUCGUUGGAUUUCUCAAGUGAUCUAAAGCUCUAAAAAGUAUAAGAAUCACU